rnacentral:rRNA from 1 species
GAUUAACGCUGGCGGCGUGCCUAACACGUGCAAGUCGAGCGGCAGCGAGUUUUACACUGAAUUCUGGAAGCUUCUAGUUGAAAGAGAAGAUUUAUUCAAGAAUUUUGUGUAAAAUGUCGGCGAGCGGCGGACGGCUGAGUAACGCGUGGGAACGUACCCCAAAGUGAGGGAUAACGCAUCGAAAGGUGUGCUAAUACCGCAUAUGGUCUUCGGAUUAAAGCCUUCGGGCGCUUUGGGAACGGCCUGCGUAAGAUUAGAUAGUUGGUGGGGUAAUGGCCUACCAAGUCGACGAUCUUUAACUGGUUUGAGAGGAUGAUCAGUCAGACUGGAACUGAGACACGGUCCAGACUCCUACGGGAGGCAGCAGUGAGGAAUCUUCCACAAUGGGCGAAAGCCUGAUGGAGCAACGCCGCGUGCAGGAUGAAGGCCUUCGGGUUGUAAACUGCUUUUAUAAGUGAGGAUUAUGACAGUAACUUAUGAAUAAGGAUCGGCUAACUACGUG